GAUAAACGCUGGCGGCGUGCCUAAUACAUGCAAGUCGAGCGAACGGACGAGAAGCUUGCUUCUCUGAUGUUAGCGGCGGACGGGUGAGUAACACGUGGAUAACCUACCUAUAAGACUGGGAUAACUUCGGGAAACCGGAGCUAAUACCGGAUAAUAUUUUGAACCGCAUGGUUCAAAAGUGAAAGACGGUCUUGCUGUCACUUAUAGAUGGAUCCGCGCUGCAUUAGCUAGUUGGUAAGGUAACGGCUUACCAAGGCAACGAUGCAUAGCCGACCUGAGAGGGUGAUCGGCCACACUGGAACAGAGACACGGUCCAGACUCCUACGGGAGGCAGCAGUAGGGAAUCUUCCGCAAUGGGCGAAAGCCUGACGGAGCAACGCCGCGUGAGUGAUGAAGGUCUUCGGAUCGUAAAACUCUGUUAUUAGGGAAGAACAUAUGUGUAAGUAACUGUGCACAUCUUGACGGUACCUAAUCAGAAAGCCACGGCUAACUACGUGCCAGCAGCCGCGGUAAUACGUAGGUGGCAAGCGUUAUCCGGAAUUAUUGGGCGUAAAGCGCGCGUAGGCGGUUUUUUAAGUCUGAUGUGAAAGCCCACGGCUCAACCGUGGAGGGUCAUUGGAAACUGGAAAACUUGAGUGCAGAAGAGGAAAGUGGAAUUCCAUGUGUAGCGGUGAAAUGCGCAGAGAUAUGGAGGAACACCAGUGGCGAAGGCGACUUUCUGGUCUGUAACUGACGCUGAUGUGCGAAAGCGUGGGGAUCAAACAGGAUUAGAUACCCUGGUAGUCCACGCCGUAAACGAUGAGUGCUAAGUGUUAGGGGGUUUCCGCCCCUUAGUGCUGCAGCUAACGCAUUAAGCACUCCGCCUGGGGAGUACGACCGCAAGGUUGAAACUCAAAGGAAUUGACGGGGACCCGCACAAGCGGUGGAGCAUGUGGUUUAAUUCGAAGCAACGCGAAGAACCUUACCAAAUCUUGACAUCCUUUGACAACUCUAGAGAUAGAGCCUUCCCCUUCGGGGGACAAAGUGACAGGUGGUGCAUGGUUGUCGUCAGCUCGUGUCGUGAGAUGUUGGGUUAAGUCCCGCAACGAGCGCAACCCUUAAGCUUAGUUGCCAUCAUUAAGUUGGGCACUCUAAGUUGACUGCCGGUGACAAACCGGAGGAAGGUGGGGAUGACGUCAAAUCAUCAUGCCCCUUAGGAUUUGGGCUACACACGUGCUACAAUGGACAAUACAAAGGGCAGCGAAACCGCGAGGUCAAGCAAAUCCCAUAAAGUUGUUCUCAGUUCGGAUUGUAGUCUGCAACUCGACUACAUGAAGCUGGAAUCGCUAGUAAUCGUAGAUCAGCAUGCUACGGUGAAUACGUUCCCGGGUCU
rnacentral:rRNA from 1 species